GAUGAACGCUGGCGGCGUGCCUAAUACAUGCAAGUCGAGCGAACAGACGAGGAGCUUACUCCUCUGACGUUAGCGGCGGACGGGUGAGUAGCACGUGGAUAACCUACCUAUAAGACUGGGAUAACUUCGGGAAACCGGAGCUAAUACCGGAUAACAUGUUGAACCGCAUGGUUCAACAGUGAAAGACGGUCUUGCUGUCACUUAUAGAUGGAUCCGCGUCGCAUUAGCUAGUUGGUAAGGUAACGGCUUACCAAGGCAACGAUGCGUAGCCGACCUGAGAGGGUGAUCGGCCACACUGGAACUGAGACACGGUCCAGACUCCUACGGGAGGCAGCAGUAGGGAAUCUUCCGCAAUGGGCGAAAGCCUGACGGAGCAACGCCGCGUGAGUGAAGAGGGUCUUCGGAUCGUAAAACUCUGUUAUUAGGGAAGAACAAAUGUGUAAGUAACUAUGCACGUCUUGACGGUACCUAAUCAGAAAGCCACGGCUAACUACGUGCCAGCAGCCGCGGUAAUACGUAGGUGGCAAGCGUUAUCCGGAAUUAUUGGGCGUAAAGCGCGCGUAGGCGGUUUUUUAAGUCUGAUGUGAAAGCCCACGGCUCAACCGUGGAGGGUCAUUGGAAACUGGAAAACUUGAGUGCAGAAGAGGAAAGUGGAAUUCCAUGUGUAGCGGUGAAAUGCGCAGAGAUAUGGAGGAACACCAGUGGCGAAGGCGACUUUCUGGUCUGUAACUGACGCUGAUGUGCGAAAGCGUGGGGAUCAAACAGGAUUAGAUACCCUGGUAGUCCACGCCGUAAACGAUGAGUGCUAAGUGUUAGGGGGUUUCCGCCCCUUAGUGCUGCAGCUAACGCAUUAAGCACUCCGCCUGGGGAGUACGACCGCAAGGUUGAAACUCAAAGGAAUUGACGGGGACCCGCACAAGCGGUGGAGCAUGUGGUUUAAUUCGAAGCAACGCGAAGAACCUUACCAAAUCUUGACAUCCUCUGACCCCUCUAGAGAUAGAGUUUUCCCCUUCGGGGGACAGAGUGACAGGUGGUGCAUGGUUGUCGUCAGCUCGUGUCGUGAGAUGUUGGGUUAAGUCCCGCAACGAGCGCAACCCUUAAGCUUAGUUGCCAUCAUUAAGUUGGGCACUCUAAGUUGACUGCCGGUGACAAACCGGAGGAAGGUGGGGAUGACGUCAAAUCAUCAUGCCCCUUAUGAUUUGGGCUACAUACGUGCUACAAUGGACAAUACAAAGGGUAGCGAAACCGCGAGGUCAAGCAAAUCCCAUAAAGUUGUUCUCAGUUCGGAUUGUAGUCUGCAACUCGACUACAUGAAGCUGGAAUCGCUAGUAAUCGUAGAUCAGCAUGCUACGGUGAAUACGUUCCCGGGUCU
rnacentral:rRNA from 1 species